rnacentral:rRNA from 1 species
UACGUAGGUGGCGAGCGUUAUCCGGAAUGAUUGGGCGUAAAGGGUGCGUAGGCGGCCUGCUAAGUCUGGAGUGAAAGGUACCGGCUCAACCGGUACAGGCUCUGGAAACCGGCGGGCUAGAGAGCAGGAGAGGGCGGUGGAACUCCAUGUGUAGCGGUAAAAUGCGUAGAUAUAUGGAAGAACACCAGUGGCGAAGGCGGCUCUCUGGUCUGUAACUGACGCUGAGGUUCGAAAGCGUGGGUAGCAAACAGG